rnacentral:rRNA from 1 species
AUUGAACGCUGGCGGCAUGCCUUACACAUGCAAGUCGAGCGGUAACAGGUCUUCGGAUGCUGACGAGUGGCGAACGGGUGAGUAAUACAUCGGAACGUGCCCGAGAGUGGGGGAUAACGAAGCGAAAGCUUUGCUAAUACCGCAUACGAUCUCAGGAUGAAAGCAGGGGACCGCAAGGCCUUGCGCUCACGGAGCGGCCGAUGGCAGAUUAGGUAGUUGGUGGGAUAAAAGCUUACCAAGCCGACGAUCUGUAGCUGGUCUGAGAGGACGACCAGCCAAACUGGGACUGAGACACGGCCCAGACUCCUACGGGAGGCAGCAGUGGGGAAUUUUGGACAAUGGGCGCAAGCCUGAUCCAGCCAUGCCGCGUGCAGGAUGAAGGCCUUCGGGUUGUAAACUGCUUUUGUACGGAACGAAAAGACUCCUUCUAAUAAAGGGGGUCCAUGACGGUACCGUAAGAAUAAGCACCGGCUAACUACGUGCCAGCAGCCGCGGUAAGAC